UACGUAGGGGGCUAGCGUUGUCCGGAAUCAUUGGGCGUAAAGCGCGUGUAGGCGGUCCGGUAAGUCCGCUGUGAAAGUCGGGGGCUCAACCCUCGGAUGCCGGUGGAUACUGUCGGGCUUGAGUACGGAAGAGGCGAGUGGAAUUCCUGGUGUAGCGGUGAAAUGCGCAGAUAUCAAGGAGGAACACCAAUUGCGAAGGCAGCUCGCUGGGACGUUACUGACGCUGAGACGCGAAGCGUGGGGAGCAA
rnacentral:rRNA from 1 species